GUCUCAAUCAGUUGUGUAGGGUUCCCCGCAGGUUACUUUGAUUUUGUGUUCGUUUAAAAAUAUGAUCUGGUCAACAAUUUCAGACGAAAGACUGUUAAACUCUCUAUUUUUUGUUACAAGGAGUGCACAUGAAAAUAUUCCCUCGAAAGGAAAGGACGUUGCUGGUACUACUAUAACAGAUAGUAUCCUCAGGAUAAACAUAGUUAUGUUAUUAAUUUAUUUUAUUGAGUAUUACGAAGGAGAAAUUUCAACAGAACUAAAAUUGAGUGGAAAUGUGAAGAGAACUAUCUCAAGAUGUAUAAAAAGCAA
rnacentral:lncRNA from 1 species